AGAGGCCCCUGUCCAGAUGGCAACAGUAGUUCUAGGGGGAGACACCAUGAGCCCUGAGCAUAUCUUCCCCAAUCAGACUGAGGACUUAGGUCCGCAUCAGGGUUCUACAGAAGGAACUGGAGAUUGGAGCAGUGAAGAACCCGAGGAAGAGCAGGAGGAAACAGGAGCAGGCCCAGCAAGCUACUCGUACCAGCCCCUCAAUCAAGACCCUGAACAGGAAGAGGUGGAAUUGGCACCAGUGGGAGAAGAUGGAGCCGCUGACAUCCAAGAUCGGACCCAGGCCCUGGGGCUUCAUCUGCCAGACCCUCCAUUGGAGAGUGAGGAUGAAGAUGAGGAGGGAGCCGCGGCAUUGAGCAGCCACAGCUCUAUCCCCAUGGACCCAGAACACGUAGAGCUGGUGAAAAGGACGAUGGCUGGAGUAAGCCUGCCUGCACCAGGGGUUCCUGCCUGGGCUCAGGAGAUCUCAGAUGCUCCGUGGGAAGAUGUGGUGCAGAAAGCCCUCCAAGCCCGGCAGGCAUCCCCUGCCUGGAAGUGACCAGAGAGUGGGCUGCCUUACCUCCCUACAUUCCGAGCCAGGACCAGCACAGGACUAACAACUCUGGUCUUAACAGCCUUCUUCUUCCCAUGUCCCUUUCACACCACGGCGAAUCAGACCUCUCAGAGACCCACUUUAUUCAGUUCUGUACAUAUGGGGACAUCAGCCCAAGCCCAGCCCACCUUAGCAUGUAUCACUCUGUGGAGAAUAAAGCACCCUAUGUACACA